GGGGGAUAAAAAGAAAUUGUGGGGGGUCAAUUUUUUCUCAUUUCAGAUUUCAGAAAUUAAAAAGAAUUAUUCUUCAAAUUUUAUUUUUUUUUCAAAUUUCAAAUAUUGAAAAAUUUCAAGAAGUAAUCUUUAAUUGCACAGUAUGGCGCAUUAGAUUUGUAAAAUCUUUGAUCACAUUUAUUUAUUUGUUAUGCCGAAUCUAACAGUGUAUUUAGAUUUUUAAUUUUGGGUCCAGUUUUCAAAUUGGUCUACAUUAAGGUCCAAAGGGUCCAAAAUUAAACUUUGUUUGAUUUUAGCAAAAAUUGAAUAUAUGAGGUUCUUUGAUAUGCUGAAUCUAAACAUGUAUUUAGAUUUUUGAUUUUUGGCCCAGUUUUCAAGUUGGUCCAAAUUGGGGUCCAAAAUUAAACUUUGUUUGAUUUCAACAAAAAUUGAAUAUAUGGGGUUCUUUGAUAUGCUGAAUCUAACCAUGUAUUUAGAUUUUUUAUUUGUGGACCCCUUUAUCAAAUUGGUUCAUAUUGAGGUCAAAAGUGUCCAAAAUUAAACUUUGUUUGAUUUCAUCUAAAAUUGAAUUAUUAGGGUUCUUUGAUAUUCCAAAUCUAACCGUGUAUUUAGAUUUUUAAUUUUGGGUCCUGUUUUUUAAAUUGGCCUACAUUAAGGUCCAAAGGGUCCAAAAUUAAACUUAGUUUGAUUUUAACAAAAAUUGAAUUCUUGGGGUUUUUUGAUAUGCUGAAUCUAAACAUGUGUUUAGAUUUUUGAUUAUGGGCCCAGUUUUCAAGUUGGUCCUAGAUAGGGUCCAGUAUUUAAACUUUGUUUGAUUUCAACAAAAAUUGAAUAUAUGGGGUUCUUUGAUAUGCUGAAUCUAAACAUGUAUUUAGAUUUUUGAUUAUGGGCCCAGUUUUCAAGUUGGUCCAAAUUGGGGUCCAAAAUUAAACUUUGUUUGAUUUCAUCAAAAAUUGAAUUAUUGGGGUUCUUUGAUAUGCCAAAUCUAACCGUGUUUUUAGAUUUUUAAUUUGGGUCCCGUUUUUUUAAAUUGGUCUUCAUUGAGGUCCAAAGGGUCCAAAAUUAAACUUAGUUUGAUUUUAACAAAAAUUGAAUUCUUGGGGUUCUUUGAUAUGCUGAAUCUAAACAUGUGUUUAGAUUUUUUAUUAUGGGCCCAGUUUUCAAGUUGGUCCAAGUUGGGGUCCAAAAUUAAACUUUUUUUGAUUUCAACAAAAAUUGAAUAUAUGGGGUUCUUUGAUAUGCUGAAUCUAACCAUGAAUUUAGAUUUUUUAUUUGUGGGCCCCGCUAUCAAAUUGGUUCAUAUUGAGGUCAAAAGGGUCCAAAAUUAAACUUUGUUUGUUUUCAUCAAAAAUUGAAUUAUUGGGGUUCUUUGAUAUUCCAAAUCUAACCGUGUAUUUAGAUUUUUAAUUUUAAGUCCCGUUUUUUAAAUUGGUCUACAUUAA